GUUGCUGACGAGUGGCGGACGGGUGAGUAAUGCUUGGGAACUUGCCUUUAGGAGGGGGAAACAGUUGGAAACGACUGCUAAUACCGCAUAACGUCUACGGACCAAAGGGGGCGCUUGCGCUCUCACCUAGAGAGAGGCCCAAGUGAGAUUAGCUAGUUGGUGAGGUAAAAGCUCACCAAGGCGACGAUCUCUAGCUGUUCUGAGAGGAAGAUCAGCCACACUGGGACUGAGACACGGCCCAGACUCCUACGGGAGGCAGCAGUGGGGAAUAUUGCACAAUGGGGGAAACCCUGAUGCAGCCAUGCCGCGUGUGUGAAGAAGGCCUUCGGGUUGUAAAGCACUUUCAGGUGUGAGGAAAGGUUGAUGGUUAAUACCCAUCAGCUGUGACGUUAACACCAGAAGAAGCACCGGCUAACUCCGUGCCAGCAGCCGCGGUAAUACGGAGGGUGCGAGCGUUAAUCGGAAUUACUGGGCGUAAAGCGCACGCAGGCGGUUAUUUAAGCUAGAAGUGAAAGCCCUGGGCUCAACCUGGGAAGGCCUUUUAGAACUGGAUGACUAGAGUCUUGGAGAGGGGAGUGGAAUUCCACGUGUAGCGGUGAAAUGCGUAGAUAUGUGGAGGAACAUCAGUGGCGAAGGCGACUCCCUGGCCAAAGACUGACGCUCAUGUGCGAAAGUGUGGGUAGCGAACAGGAUUAGAUACCCUGGUAGUCCACACCGUAAACGCUGUCUACUAGCUGUUUGUGUAUUUGAUACG
rnacentral:rRNA from 1 species